CCUGUACUUGGUGUUACUGCGAAGGGGGGACGGAGAAGGCUAUGUUGGCCGGGCGACGGUUGUCCCGGUUUAAGCGUGUAGGCUGGUUUUCCAGGCAAAUCCGGAAAAUCAAGGCUGAGGCGUGAUGACGAGGCACUACGGUGCUGAAGCAACAAAUGCCCUGCUUCCAGGAAAAGCCUCUAAGCAUCAGGUAACAUCAAAUCGUACCCCAAACCGACACAGGUGGUCAGGUAGAGAAUACCAAGGCGCUUGAGAGAACUCGGGUGAAGGAACUAGGCAAAAUGGUGCCGUAACUUCGGGAGAAGGCACGCUGAUAUGUAGGUGAGGUCCCUCGCGGAUGGAGCUGAAAUCAGUCGAAGAUACCAGCUGGCUGCAACUGUUUAUUAAAAACACAGCACUGUGCAAACACGAAAGUGGACGUAUACGGUGUGACGCCUGCCCGGUGCCGGAAGGUUAAUUGAUGGGGUUAGCGCAAGCGAAGCUCUUGAUCGAAGCCCCGGUAAACGGCGGCCGUAACGAUAACGGUCCUAAGGUAGCGAAAUUCCUUGUCGGGUAAGUUCCGACCUGCACGAAUGGCGUAAUGAUGGCCAGGCUGUCUCCACCCGAGACUCAGUGAAAUUGAACUCGCUGUGAAGAUGCAGUGUACCCGCGGCAAGACGGAAAGACCCCGUGAACCUUUACUAUAGCUUGACACUGAACAUUGAGCCUUGAUGUGUAGGAUAGGUGGGAGGCUUUGAAGUGUGGACGCCAGUCUGCAUGGAGCCGACCUUGAAAUACCACCCUUUAAUGUUUGACGUUCUAACGUUGACCCGUAAUCCGGGUUGCGGACAGUGUCUGGUGGGUAGUUUGACUGGGGCGGUCUCCUCCUAAAGAGUAACGGAGGAGCACGAAGGUUGGCUAAUCCUGGUCGGACAUCAGGAGGUUAGUGCAAUGGCAUAAGCCAGCUUGACUGCGAGCGUGACGGCGCGAGCAGGUGCGAAAGCAGGUCAUAGUGAUCCGGUGGUUCUGAAUGGAAGGGCCAUCGCUCAACGGAUAAAAGGUACUCCGGGGAUAACAGGCUGAUACCGCCCAAGAGUUCAUAUCGACGGCGGUGUUUGGCACCUCGAUGUCGGCUCAUCACAUCCUGGGGCUGAAGUAGGUCCCAAGGGUAUGGCUGUUCGCCAUUUAAAGUGGUACGCGAGCUGGGUUUAGAACGUCGUGAGACAGUUCGGUCCCUAUCUGCCGUGGGCGCUGGAGAACUGAGGGGGGCUGCUCCUAGUACGAGAGGACCGGAGUGGACGCAUCACUGGUGUUCGGGUUGUCAUGCCAAUGGCACUGCCCGGUAGCUAAAUGCGGAAGAGAUAAGUGCCGAAAGCAUCUAAGCACGAAACUUGCCCCGAGAUGAGUUCUCCCUGACCCUUUAAGGGUACUGAAGGAACGUUGAAGACGACGACGUUGAUAGGCCGGGUGUGUAAGCGCAGCGAUGCGUUGAGCUAACCGGUACUAAUGAACCGUGAGGCUUAACCU
rnacentral:rRNA from 1 species